AGGAUAUAUGAUCCGAUCCGAUUCGAAUCGGAUCCAAAUAUAAGAUUCGAACUCAGUUACAAUGACUCAUCCAAAUAAAAAUUUGGGCUUGGGCCAAAAAAAUGACUCACCCAAAUUCUUUCUUAAAUCUCUUACUAAAAUCUUUAAUAUUGUCACACUAUUACAAGAUCAUUAAUGCACCGCACAAGAAAUACCAUUC
rnacentral:lncRNA from 1 species